rnacentral:rRNA from 1 species
CCGAGGAGUGUAAACAAUGCGCGAGUCAAAGGGUGUUUAACCCCUUGGUGUAAUGAAAGUAAAGGCCAGUUAACUGUUUUUACAUGGGAGGGGUUCUUUUGAGCGUUGCACCAUGGUCCUAUCUUGAAAUUUUGCUUUCGGGCAGAGGAAGAGCGUAUUUGUUGCGACCCGAAAGAUGGUGAACUAUGCUUGAGCAUGACGAAGCCAGAGGAAACUCUGGUGGAGGCCCGCAUCGGUUCUGACGUGCAAAUCGAUCGAUAGAACUUGAGUAUAGGGGCGAAAGACUAA